rnacentral:lncRNA from 1 species
CUUUGUCUUUUUCCUUCUUUAUUUAUCAGACUUUAUCUCGUGAUGAAAUCACUGCUCUAAGAGUUAAUCUCAUUUGAACACUUACUCAGAAUCUAGCCAGCUGAGAGAACGCCACAGGCUAAUGUGGAAAGUCGCUGGAAACAGAAUCUAGGUUGAUUCUUCUGGACUGCCUUAAUCAUUAAUUCAUCUACUUGAGAAUUCAUUCAUCUUUAUUUCACCAUUACCUAAUGAGGAUAAUGGUGACUACGAAAAUUCAAAGGCUAAUCAUUUUUUUAAAGUCCAUUAAGAAUGGUGCUAUUUAAAGGAAGCAGUAAACCCCACCCGUCUCCCACAAAAUUCACAACCAAUUAAGAAACUGAUGCUGUAUUCAGAAACAUGAAGAUCACAAGGUAUGAUAGAAUGGAUUGAAGAAUGUUGAAUCCAAACUGCAUGAGCAGGUAAUUUGUUCAACUCAUAAUAACUGAGCAACAACUCUGUGACAGUCCUUACUUCAGAUCUUGUGAUUUGUA